CAAAAAUCGACACUUUGUAUUUUCAUUCCUGCGUGUUUUCAAUUAACAGUUUUUGACUUGAUCGACAAUGGGCUUCAUUCAACCGAAUAUCAACUUGAAGAUUUGUACUCAGGCGAGGAAAUAGGUUCUACAAGGGAGAAUGGCAUUCCAUCAGCGCAGGUUGUAGAUCUCACAGGAGAAGUCGAUGGUGCGAGCGAUUGUGAACGGUACUUUAUGCAGGGUCUCUCCCCUACC